AACGAACGCUGGCGGCAUGCCUAACACAUGCAAGUCGAACGAGACCUUCGGGUCUAGUGGCGCACGGGUGUGUAACGCGUGGGAACCUGCCUUUAGGUUCGGAAUAACUCAGAGAAAUUUGAGCUAAUACCGGAUGAUGUCUUCGGACCGAAGAUUUAUCGCCUUUAGAUGGGCCCGCGUUGGAUUAGCUAGUUGGUGGGGUAAAGGCCUACCAAGGCGACGAUCCAUAGCUGGUCUGAGAGGAUGAUCAGCCACACUGGGACUGAGACACGGCCCAGACUCCUACGGGAGGCAGCAGUGGGGAAUAUUGGACAAUGGGCGAAAGCCUGAUCCAGCAAUGCCGCGUGAGUGAUGAAGGCCUUAGGGUUGUAAAGCUCUUUUACCCGAGAUGAUAAUGACAGUAUCGGGAGAAUAAGCUCCGGCUAACUCCGUG
rnacentral:rRNA from 1 species